rnacentral:antisense_RNA from 1 species
CUUCACCGAACCCAGCCACACCGGGUCACCGGAACGGUCCUGACCGUACGUGGCCAGCAGCGCCUGUGCCUC